CUGCAAAUAUCCCCUUCUUGUGCUUCCAUCGUCCGCUGUGGUGAUCAUCGAGGCGUACACCACCGAGUGAGCCUUAACAGGCUUGCGCCUACUCUCUACCGGGUCAUUUUCAGUGCCAGCUGCCGCGUGUUGGGGAGGAGACUCUGUUCGUCACCAUCCCUCCCUCCCUUCUCCUGCUCCUCUCCGCUUCUUCCACAGCUCGCAGGUCUGCCCAAGCGGAGAGAGGUUUGCGUUGUUUCCUGUUGACGCCCCUUUUCCCUCUUGAUGUGACCGAUGACUUCUUGGCGCGUUUCCUUCAACUACGCUGAUGCGCGCACCUGUCGCACUGCCGCGCUCUAGGCGCGUCUUCGUUAGCUCCCACCGCUUCUCACUGCCGCAUCACCGACCCACAGGGAGACUGCACGACGGCGACUCGCCUCUGUGGAGUCGCGAGCUGACAGACCGCACACGCGUGCCGAUGAGUCUCAGCGCUUCCAUCGGCAAUGUGGUCUCUGGGGACCCUUUGCAAGUGCCGUUUCGGGCUCUGCUGCUCGGGUACGCCACCCACCCUACGCUGCUGUCUCUCGCGACGGGCCACACGCUGCUGUUCGACGCGCUGUCGGCGAGCACCGACCUGCUGCAGCAGCGCACCAUGCUGAAUCCGUGCAGGGGGCACCUAGUCGAGAUGCAGGGGCGCUGCGUCGAUGCCGCUUGGCGCCUCGUUCGCUAUUAUCAAGCGGAUGCGCAGCGGGUGCUCGAGCUUCCCUUGAAGCACCGCCACCUCCUCGACGACAUGCGUCUCGUGUACCUCAUCACCUCUGCGAGCCCCAACGCGGGUUUGCUGGUGUCCAAGGAGCUGACACACGGUCGAGAAUUAUCGCUAGACGUGGCGUGCACGUUGCUCUCCCUCCCUUGCACGCCUGACAUCCUUCGCGCGAUUCUAGUCUUCACUUUCCGCACGCACGCGGCCGCUGUUGACGCGCCGCACUUCCAGCGGUGCGCGCACGCACUGCUCAGUAACGACAACUUCUUCAGCGAGCGAACCUUCGCCUCCAUGCACAGUCUCCUCCACGACGUCUUGCUGCCGUCACUGCGUUGUGGCGCUGCCCGAAACGACUCUUUCGACUUUGUCGCUGUGCGUUGGACGACGCUGAUGAACAAGUGGUCCCGUGUGUACGCGAAAUCUGGGCGGGGCUUUGACCUGCACGACUGCUUGGAAACGCUUCUGCAGGCUGUGCCUGCGGCCGAGACGAAGCUGCCUGCUUCGUUCUACAUACGGCUGCUCGGCGCACUCCUUGAUGCAACAGCGGCAGGCGAGGCGCCCAGGAGCGCGAAGGCUGGGUGGGAACGAAUGAAGACGGUGGCCGGCGACGCCCUCCGCCUCUUUGGGCGCAACCCGGAGGAUCUGCGCGCUGUUUGGGUGUUACUUCUGAAAGGAGCGCUGACACUCCCACCCGCUGAGGGGGAUCACUGGCGCCUUCUUGAAGCCUAUCAUCUGUGCGCGCAGCGUGGCCAUGCAGUCGUGGUUGACCGACAAGGGUUUCGGCAAGUAAUUCGACUUGUUGCCGCUGCAGUGAGCGCGCUGCCUCUUCCGCAGGUGACACAGUUAGUGAGGAGCUUCUGCACCUUUCUGCAUGAGCAGACUUCCGUCAGCUUUCUGUGGUUGCUGGACGGGGUCGGCACAGUGCUGACCGAGCUGUGGCAGCAUCACCGACUAGAAGCACAGGGAGAGGCGGAGCAGCUGCUGCGCGUGCUGAGGAUGCUGCUGCGCGAGCGGUGCGUGAGUGGGGUCGAGCUGCACAGCAAUCCCGUCAUUGCCCGUGCUCUGGACCACUUCCGAAUCGGUGGCGCAGCCGCAUACUGGUGGACAUGCGGAUGCGGGGAGGUGAUCCCUUGCACUUCCAAGCGCUGCGCAUCAUGCCUACGCAAGUCAGGCGUGUCGUGGGUUUGCCCGCAGUGCCACGCUGCACACAAGCUACCGUGCAAAACGCAGUCCUGCUCGUGCGAAUGCCUCAACCCUCGCAUGGCCGCCGCCGUCAACGCCAACGUUUGCAUCUGCGAUAAGUGCGGUGGACUCAUCACGGCCGCAGGCUGUAUCUGCGCCCGUUGCAAGCAGCAGCGCCAGGAGAGUGAGCGCACGGUGGAGUGCGCCCACUGCCACGGCACAUACAAGGGCAACGGGUUGCAUUGCCCUCAGUGCUUUUCGCCGAACCCGGACAAGUACCUGCACCUGUGGCACUGUGUAGACUGCGACGACUUCAACUACUCCAUUUGGUCGUCGUGCCGCUCCUGCAAAACGCCGAGACGGAUUGGUGCGCUGCGCGUGUCGUUUGUGCCGUGGAAAUGCGGCUGCGGCGCCCUUAACCACCCUUGCCGCCUCACGUGUGGGAGGUGCGGCACCGGCGAACACCACCACACGUACACAUGUGCCGGCUGCGACGCCCGCGUCUCCCUGCACUCGCUGCGUCGUACUCUACUUACCGUAGAUGGAAAGACACUUUCCCUACACCUCUGCCCGAAGUGCCAGUGCCCCCACCCCCGCGACGAUCUUGUGCUCUACUCACCGUCCUUUUCCCGGCACUGCAUGCUAUGCGCACACACGGUGAAGCCCUCCAGCAUCUCUGCAAGCGGCUCAUUUUUCCACUGUGACACAGUGCAGCGGGUGAAUGAACACUACCUGUUUCGCUGCACCCACUGCGACUACACAGAGCUGCAGACAGGAUACCACUGCCAGCGGUGCCAUUUCCCUCGCCCAGAGAUGGAGGCGUUGCUGCAGGAUGAGUCGGCCGGUGCCGCGCCGCUCAGCCACGUCUGGCGCUGCCUUCACGAGACGGACGACGGUGCACUGUGUGGUCAGUGGAACUACGGCUGGAGCGCGCACUGCCUCGCUUGCAGGAGAGGGCGUCCUGACUCGGCCUGCGAGUGCCGUGCCAAGGCGCAAAUGUGGGCGUGUGACACCUGCGGGAAGCCGAAUCGGCCCAUCGACGUUCUCUUUUGUGCGCACUGCAAGACUGGGCUUCAGCCUGUGCUAGCAUGUGCCACGUGCGGACUGCCGCACAUGUCCUACGCCUGUCGCGCGUGCCUUUGAGAGCGGACUGCCGCACGUGCCCGAGAAUGCACCUCCACGCACCCUUCUUCCACCGCAGCGUAGCGAAGUUGCGGUGUGGUGGAGCAUGGCGAGACGCCGGGAGAGGAUGCAUGCGUCUUUGUCUCUGCGUGUGCACCUUUUUCUCUUUGCCUUUCGCCAGAAGGGCAGAGACCACUUGGUGCGUGCCUCCGCGUAUAUGCGUGCUUGUGCCACUCUCGGUGCAGAGGUGUAUGGCGAUGGUGUGCGUAGUCACACGAAGAGCAGCGCGCUUCUUUUCAGUCGACUGCUGCGUGUCCGCCUUGCGCGUCAACGCUCUUUUUAGAAGUUCUUUCCCUUCUUUUGCCCGUGACUGGCUGCAGCCAGCGGCGCUCCAGCAGUGCACUGGGAUGCGUGCGCGGGGCACUCCCAGCCACACGCGCUCUGUCCCGCACUUCUUCCAUGCCUUUCUCGUAUCCACCCUCCCCUACCGGCCUACACUUUCUAUCGAAG
rnacentral:misc_RNA from 1 species